GGGUGAUCUGGCUUCAACAUCUACCACCCAUUGAUCACCAGGGUUGAUUCAGCUGAUGUCUGGCUAUACAGGUGUCCCUUUCCUCCAGUGUUCCAUGUGUAACCCUCCUGAAGUUGAAAACUUGGUUGGAGAGGAUGACCUUCCCUGAUAGAAGAAGACCAUUCUUUAAUCAAGGGUGUUCAAGUAGCUCUCUAAGCUCUCAAGGUAAAGGUCUCACCUGCACUGU
rnacentral:snRNA from 1 species